UUCCAGAUGAGCUCUAUCAGGGCUUUCUGAA
rnacentral:piRNA from 1 species